UUUAAUGGCUGCAGUAUAACUAACUGUACAAAGGUAGCAUAAUCAAUUGGUUUUUAAAUGAAAUCUGGAAUGAAAGGAUUAAUGAAAUAUAUACUGUCUCAUAUUUAUUUUAUGAAUUUAAAAUUUUAAUAAAAAUGUUAAAAUUUAUUUAUGGGACGAUAAGACCCUAUAGAAUUUUAUAUUAAAUUAAUUUUAUAAUUAAAUAUAAAAUUUAAUUUAAUAUUUAAUUGGGAGAAUUAUUAAAUUUAAUGAAUUUUAAUUAAUAAAAACUUUAAUUAAAGAAAAUUUUAUUGAUUUUUAAUUUAAAAUUAAUAGAUUAAAUUACCUUAGGGAUAACAGCGUAAUAUUUUUUUAUAGAUCUUAUAGAAAAAAAUGAUUGCGACCUCGAUGUUGAAUUAAGAUAAAUUUUAAAUGUAGACU
rnacentral:rRNA from 1 species